AUUGACCAGUUUUAUCAUCAUCUCUGUCAAGCUGUUUUCAAUCCACUUAGGAAACACUUAAAAAUCAGAGCAAACAUCAAAUUUGAAUCUUAACUUGAAAACCUGCUAAUUUUUUAAAGUUUUGCCAAAGGUUUUAAUGUAAACUUCAUCUGAUUGUUUUUUUGUUUUGUUUGUUUGUUUGUAUCGUAGCACUGAAGGAACUUAAGUUCAGUCCUGAGAUGAGACAGAAGAUGAUUAUGACUGUGUGAGAGAAUACUGAAAACAACAUUG